rnacentral:rRNA from 1 species
AUUGAACGCUGGCGGCAGGCCUAACACAUGCAAGUCGAACGAGUGGCGGACGGGUGAGUAAUGUCUGGGAAACUGCCCGAUGGAGGGGGAUAACUACUGGAAACGGUAGCUAAUACCGCAUACCAUCGGAUGUGCCCAGAUGGGAUUAGCUAGUCGGGGGGGUAAUGGCUCACCUAGGCGACGAUCCCUAGCUGGUCUGAGAGGAUGACCAGCCACACUGGAACUGAUACACGGUCCGUACUCCUACGGGAGGCAGCAGUGGGGAAUGUUGCACAAUGGGCGCAAGCCUGCUGCAGCCAUGCCGCGUGUGUGAAGAAGGCCUUCGGGUUGUAAAGCACUUUCAGCGGGGAGGCGUUACCCGCAGAAGAAGCACCGGCUAACUCCGUGCCAGCCGCCGCGGUAAUAC